rnacentral:lncRNA from 1 species
AUGCUGUCACAUCAGCAUCAGGGUCUUCAUGGAAACACAGUCAACAUGGUCAGCCAGGCUUCAGUGCUCAGAGAACCACACAACCUCAAGUUCAGGCCUCGGACUCUUCCAGCAACUCCAUCAGCAUCAAAUCAGAGCCCAUCUCCCCUCCAAGAGAGCAUGCCGGCCCCUCGCUGUACCACACCAUCCACCCCAGGCCUCGGCCCAACUCCAGACAAGAAGUGGGCCGCUCUCCUGCUGAGAGCUUCAGCUCUUCUGGUAGUUCAUAUGAGGGCAGUGACCGUGAGGACCAGCGGCUGGACUCUCACACAGUUGCCGCAUCAUCAGGACAAAGCAGUCGAUCAUCACCAGAGACCGAGAACCAGGAAGAUCCCUCAGUCAAACGCAUGCGCACAGAGAGCUGGGUAACUUAGGAUGGCUUUUUUAAAUAACAUUUCAGAUAUGCAGACUGCUGCUGUAGUGCAACAAACACAAAGUGCUGCUUUAAAAGAGUCUCUGAAAGGUAAAAACAUUGUGAAUGGGUGUGUUCUGUUGUUUGUAUUGUUUUAGGAUUAACAAAGUUAUGAAGUGUCUGACUCUUUGUUUUUCUCCAUAGAGGGUUAGCUUUGCUGCAUUAUUUGCAGUAUAUUAUUUUUUGCAAGCCAAAUGUGUUAUUUUACCUUUUGUAUGUUUAUCUGAAUCCUCGUUCAAAGCCAUAUAAAUAUUGAUAGGGAUUUACUAUUUGCUGUCAUUUAGUGCAAUUAAAAAUUUUAAAAGACAUUUCAUUUUGUUUAAUUUUUGUGCUACAGAAAAAAAAAACAAAGAAAAAAAACCCCUAUUUGAAAUGGCAAACUUAAUCUUCUGUGGAGUGUUGACUUGUCGGUUGCACUUUAUUUUACAGUAUGUGUACUAACUUGUACUUAUAGUGAACUUACAGUGUAUUUAUCUAAGAAAGUUCUGGUAACACAAGGUAACUACAUGGGGUAGGGUUAGGUUAAGGGGUAGGUUCAGGGUUAGUACCUAGUUAUUACAUAGUUAUUGUAAUUACUAUAAUAAGUACAUAGUAUGUACAUGAACAGGACUGUAAAAUAAAGUGCUACCGACUUGUCUGUCAAGUUUUAGAUGAACCUCAGGUAUCUGCAUUUCAAUCAUCAACUGGCAGCCAAAUAACACUUUCAGUUCUUUCAAGAUUUGUGGUGGAUAGAUGAUAAAAUGGCCCAAAAAUCAUUGAUUAAUUAGAUUUAUUAAUAUAACCACCUAGCAACGCCUUUGUGGGUGAUAAAAUGAUCUAAUCAUAAUUUGAAUUUUAUUUUAUUUUUUUCUUAAAACUACAAUCCUUCUAUAAGAGAACACAUAAUAAACAUGUCAUAUUCAUAAUCAAAUAUCUAAACAUCUGUGAAUUAGAUGUUUAAUAUACACAAUGUAAAUACUGUCUGCCUGAUUACACAAGCAUUUAAAAAACAUAUGAAAAGUAUUUAAAUGUCUUUUAUGGUGUUUUUAUCCUUUAUUCUGAUUCUGCUGAAUGUGACAGGGAUGCUGUAAAGGUACAGUCGAGUUUAUAGCCAAUUUCUAGUUGUUUUGUGAGGUUUCUGAUGAGACGUUUAGGCAUUUUGCUGCUAAUACCAGGUUUUAUUUGACAUCUUUCCUCUUUACUGACACAAUGUUCAUUAGGCCAAUGCCCUCAAAAUCUUCCUUCAUGACAUAUAAAAUCAUUUUACACUGAUGCCAAUACAUUCUAUGGAACUCUGUUAUUGUUUUUUUCUCAAAUCCAGCUGACCCCUUUAUUGUUUAUUAUUCUAAUAAAUGGCAAUAAACAUCACAU